rnacentral:misc_RNA from 1 species
GCUAUGGCGUGCCCGUUACUAUUUGGUGCUUUCGGUAACUUCGCCUAACGCAGUGCGUUACCAUCACCGAUUGAACCGUAAUGUUCGUGUAAUAAAAAACAGCUGAAGUAAAAAUAAGCCACUACGAUGAAACGGUGAAGUCCAGCCAGUGUGCAUGUGAAGGGGAACCGCUUCUCAUAGCUCGUAUCAAUGCAAGGUGGUAUCGCUUGCACUUCGAGUACGACAGUAAGGCAACAACGGCAGCAACGAUUGCACCAGUUCCGUUGGUGUUUGUGCGUUGCGUAGCGGUUGAGUAGCUGUAGUAUUCUACUCUAUCAAAACCCAGUGGCCGUGUAAUUCAGCGAGGACACGGUACUGCAGUUUGAAAUCAAGUAUUCGUCGAAAUCAUUGCUACAAUGGGAGUGCCGAAGCUCUCAAGCGGAGCUGCGUGCAUAUUGCUCUGGCUCUUCGUUGUUCGUAUCGGGCAAGUUUGCGUUCUGGCAGCUUCUACUCAGCGAAAUGAGGAGGCCAAAAAACUUGAAGAACAAGGAAUCACAACUUUACCAGCCGUAGUUACUUCUCAGAGCAUCAGCACUAAGGGAAUUCAACAUGUGGAAACCGAUGAUGGAAAGAGUACACCAUAUGGUAUCACUACUGACAAGACAGGAAGUAAAGUUGACCAAAAUAAGGUUCCUGUUGUGGUCCAGAGCAUUGCUCCCAAUGAGCAUGAAAGUACAAGCAAUCCUAAAGGUGACUUGGGCAAAGAAAGUGGUGCAUCUACAGGCUCAAUCACUGGUGAGCUUCGCCAGGUGGAGCAGCUAGACAGAACUAAUGGUGGGCCAUCUGACAGCAAAAAGAAAGUGUCUAAUGACACAGCUGCGGAUUUAGUGAAGUCAUCCAAUGGAGACAAAGAUGAUCAAGUCAACGGUCCUCCACGUCGAGUCAAGGAUGAUGAUCAAAAUGCUGCAACUAAUUCGCAAGUUGAAAACAACGUGAAAGCUCCUGUGGGUGGCAGCCAACCCCCAGUGACUACCAAAGUCGAGGAGACUCCACCACCAAUUACGCCUACACAAACUAGUACUCUUCAGAAGAAAUUUCAGCCAACUGAACCACCUCAAAGUCAAGGACAGCAGAAGGAUGUGGAUGCAUCAUCUGGUCGGUUGAAAGACUUGGGUGAGAUUCCUUCUGCUUCUAAUCCAGGCAACUUUGAAUACGGCAAUGCAAGGGAACCAGACUCUGAAGAGGAGCUUGAGCCACCCUUGCCAACACAGAAGGGACUUGCCUCUGUAACCAGUGGAUCAGCAUCUUCAGGCGCUCAGUCCAUUGUGGGUUCUAUGGGAGGUAGUCAUCCAGAAAAGCCCCUUGAUGCUUCUGGAGCUGCUGGCAGCAUGCCUUCCUUGCCAUCCCAAGACGACAGCCAUUUUUUUGCCUACUUCUUGGCUGCUGUGGUGCUUUGUGUGAUUGGGUACUUGGCCUUCCACAACAAGCGCAAGAUUCUGGCUCUCAUACUGGAAGGCAGGCACGAGCGCCAGCGGAGGCACAAUGGGCAUUACAGAAGGCUGGACAAUACUGAUGAAGCAUUGUCUGCUCGCAAGAAUCGUGGCAGCUUUUAGGAACAAGGACCUCACUCUAGUCACAUUAUGGCAGGCGGCAGGAGCUGCACAAGCCGACCUCCGUGCAAGAAUUCGUGGCAACUUGCUACUGUACUAUACGUGAACCUCCUUGGGACCCACCGUAUCUUGUUCUUCCCAAAAGGUAAUGCCAUCACCACUACCAACAACAAACAUAUGCUUAUAUAUCGGCAUCUCUUAAGAUGUUGGAAUAGAAGGCAUAACAGUUAUAAAGGUUCACACAUCUCUUACCUAGAAGCUAAAAAAGGUAUUGAACGAGAAGUUGUAGGUUUCUCUAUUUUUACUUCUGCUGUUAGUGUAAAUACUGUUUUACUCUUUUGAUCAAAUUUUUGAUACUGCAGGCAUAUAAUAUUUUUGUAAUUUAAUUCAACUAUUUCCCAAAUGUUCUUUUGAGAAUUAAAAAAAUUGAGUGUUUAUUUAGCUUUAUUAACCUACAUAUGGCAUAUAUUGUUAGCUUGCUUUUUAUCUGGUUGAUUCAAUGCUUUGAUAAUUGCAUAUUGUGCAUCCAUAUAGUAUGGCAGUGUUCAUGAUUGUGAAUAAUAGGAAUUGUUACUUGCGAUGUUCACAGCUGUUAGUGGUUUAUCUUUAUCUGAGAUUUUUUCUGUGUACUUGCUUGUUUUGUUUUAUACAUGUUCAUGACAGAAUGAAUGGUGCAUGUGCAAUGCAUUAUAAACCAUAAAAUUCAUAUAAAACUGAUGGUUUCGUGGUUUAUUAACUUUUCGCAACAUGUUAUGCCCGUAGAUAGUGGUACAGUUAUGUAGAACAAAGUUGAGACACUUUUUGGAAUUAGUUUUUGUUUAGGAGAAUUCAUUGAACAAAGAAUGUUACUAGGGUCAAUGUUUUGGCGUGGGGACUUUUCAUAUCCCCCUGUGACAAAGAUGAGCCCAUUUGUCAAAGCUGAUCACUUCAGGCCUCCCAUCUUUCUUAGUAUAUACAUGUCUUGUUUCGAUUGCUGAAGCACGAUUGUCUCGGCCCUCAGAAAGACAAAUUGAUGGGUAUGGAGAGGGAUACAAUUUCAGUAACACUUUUGGAGAGGCUACAUGUAGCAUUUCAUAGUUGUAGAAUUCUGUUGUUGAUGUGGUCUGUGUACUUUUGUCUUGAAUUUACUGUGGCUGCAGUAAUGCAUCACAUAUGGUUCGUUUGGUGUGAUACUGUCAAAAUAAUUUGAAUCAGAAACACCGGUCUUUCUUUACAUUUGUUGGUUGCUUCAUGUGGAUUUUGUGGCUUUUGUGCUUCAUCUUACAUGAAGCUGUUGCUGUGCAUGCUCAUCAGAUAAGUAGAAAUUAUGAACCUUCUGAGGUGACCAGCCCCAGUAAUGUACAUAUAUUCAUUGGCCUCUGUGUGUGCAUGAUGCUUCUUUUACGCCCACAUUUCAUUAAAAAAGUGGAUACAGGAAUUUGUUAGUUUGCUGAGCAGAAGCAGUUAUAAAUCGAAGCCACACUCAUGAAACAGUAGAUCAUCAAAAGCAUAGGAGUGUGUUGUGUUCACAGCAAGUGCUAUGGACAUUCAGUGAAUGAGUUAUUCAGUGUAAUAAUGAUCUGUAGUGUCAGCUUACACUGUUGUUUCAAUAUGUCUGAGCUCUUCUUAGCUUGUAUUUUCUGGAUAUCUUUCUUUUGUCCUUUCUGUUCUUAUUAGGCAUACUUUACCAAAGAAAAGUGAACAAAAAAUGUUCUUGCUGGAGUGUCUUUCUUGUUUGCCUUGAGACUUUUUGUUGGAGACAGUUGAAAUUCAUGUAUUGGAUUGGGGUAGAAUAGGAUCUAUCUCCAAUAGCCAUUGUAAUCUAAAUUGUAUAUAGGUAUACAAUCACUAUGUCUACCAAAUUGUGUUUAUGUGUGUAAGUGCAUACAGGCAUGUGUACGCAUACACAUGCCAUACGCACACUUAGUUUUUUUCUUUUUUAAAUUACCUCAUUUUAACUUCAUGAUGUAUUCCUUGUCAAGACUUAUGGCACUUACAUAGUACACUAUAGAUUCUUUUUUCACUUUUUGUUGUGCUUUCUUUGAAUUAGUUCUUCUUUCAUUCAUAUUUCUUUUUUACUUCAUUAACUUGUUGUGAUUACAUAUUGUUUUUUAACAAUUCUUCACACGUUUAGAUACAGAAGUUUAAUUUAGCUUUCAAAUGAGCAUUGGUUUCAGUGUACACAACCGAGUACUCGUUACUGCAAGAUGCUACAUGUCCAUUUAUUUUGUUUUUCAGUACACUGUUCUAGACAACUAUAGUGCUAAGUUUCUGACGGGUCCUUUUAGAAAAAUAAAUAAAAAUCGCAAGCUUGGUCCUCUAUAGACCUUUUCAUAGACGGCUCUUUGGACGCCAUCAUAAUUUUCUCAGGGCUGCACCAAGCUGGCAUGACCCACCAAAAAAGCACUGCUGAAGCCUUUGUAGUCCUGCAUGCAGCCCAGCAUGGUGGCAUUUUUUCCGUCGUGUGAAAAGGUCUCUACCGUGCGAAUUUCUGAAA